rnacentral:lncRNA from 1 species
ACAAACUCAAAUCUUACUCCCAAAUCACUCAAAAUCGCAGCUGAAAUCACAAAUUCGAGCAGAUUGUGCAGCCUUCACUAAAGUGAGCAUAACUCACUCAUUUCUUAUCCGAUUUGGUUGAUUCUUUUUCCUAUGUGCUUGGAUUGACCUUAACUUCGAUUCCAUGGGUUUUUCACAGUAAAUAAGUCCCUGGAACUCCGGCAAAAAGGCUCCAAAGUUCACUGUUUGUUUCUAUUUUGAUUAAACCUUUACUAAAACUUGUUCAACUUGAGUCUAACUCAUCUCAAACCUAUGUCCUUAUGCUUAUAACCACUUCUAUGGUUAGUUAGGCUUAAAAACAAGGUUGAGACAUUCAAAAUCAGAGGUUAAACCUCAUAUACAUUCUGUUUUGUUUAGGGUUUUUAACCCACAAGUGAUGUUCAAGCUUAAAGCUUGAUGAAGAUGUGAUUAUGGACUAACUUGGGUUGUCCAACAUAGAAUCCCCACAUUACUUGAUGAUUUCUCAUAGUGUAGUUGUUCUUAUUCUUGUAUUGAUAUUAGUUCAUGACCCUCCUUGUAUGUUUUUACAUCAAGUGUAGUGGUGAACCAUAAGAGGUACCUAAAUGGAAGUUUGUUCUUCCUACCUCCUACAUGAAUUCUAUGACACAAUAGAGGUACCUAAAUGAAGAUUUAUCUUCUACCUCAUACUUGACUAAUGGACUAAAUAAUACAUAAUACUUAUACAUAUAUAUACUAUUCGAACCCUUGAUGGUGGACUUGUGUUCAUUCGUCAAGAUAUUAGAAUAACAUCAUCUAAGACAUAAGACUUGUUACGAUUCUAAUGAGUAUAUUACUCAUGAAAACAUUAACCCUUGAGGUUUCAUAGUGUCAAGAACAAGUACUUGGUGUUAAAGGAUGAUUACUUUCGAAUACCUAUAUUCUUACGUUUUAACUUCCUAAAUCCCUACACGAACAUAUUCAACCUUCUAACCUUAUCAAUUUCGUCACAUUGGAUAAUCGGAAAGCAUAUGCAAAUUUGUUGAGGACGAUGAUGCUAUGAAAUGAAGUAGCGUUGAUGCCUAGAUACACAUAUAGACGUUAGGGUUUAAAAUGUUGUAUCAAAAUUUUGUUAUGUUAUCAUGUUGUUUUGUUAAACUUGUCGUAUUUGAAUUUCUUGUAAUGUUGACUAUUUGAAGUUAUGAAAUGAAAUGAAAUUUGGAUU